AACGGCCGUACCAUGCUGAAUAUACCGGUUCUCGUUAGAUCACCGAAGUUAAGCAUCAUUGGGCGCGGUCAGUACUUGGGUGGGUGACCACCUGGGAAUACCGCUUGCCGU
rnacentral:rRNA from 1 species